UACGAAGGGGGCUAGCGUUGCUCGGAAUCACUGGGCGUAAAGGGUGCGUAGGCGGGUCUUUAAGUCAGGGGUGAAAUCCUGGAGCUCAAAUCCAGAACUGCCUUUGAUACUGAGGAUCUUGAGUUCGGGAGAGGUGAGUGGAACUGCGAGUGUAGAGGUGAAAUUCGUAGAUAUUCGCAAGAACACCAGUGGCGAAGGCGGCUCACUGGCCCGAUACUGACGCUGAGGCACGAAAGCGUGGGGAGCAAACAGG
rnacentral:rRNA from 1 species